ACCAAACUAUAAUUGAAGCACACAAACCUAGUAUUAGUCGAUAUUAGUAGCCUACCAUUAAACCAGAACACGUUUUCCUCCCAUCCCCGAAUGUUGUGUGGAGUAGCCAGACCCUCCUUCAGGGCGCUUUGGAGGAGGGAUAACCCUUGACCCAAAGACGACUCUGCGACAUGUCAGAGGCAGGACUGAAUGCCACACAGCAGUCUCCGUCCUUAGGCAAUGAUCAUCCGCGGCACUAUCCACUCGCCGUAGGCCGGAUACACAAACAAACACACGGUUCCUGUGUCCCGUUGCUAACUUACAGCUAGCUUAUGCUAACGUCUGUACAGUUGGUACUGUGGCUGUUUUGGGGGCGAACAAACAAACGAGCCUGCGGUCACAUUCACCGGAAUGAUGCUAGGCGAAAAGUAUGAAUCGCUGUGAGAAGGAAUAUGGCGUUUUAUAUCGGUUUUGUUUGUGUUUCUGCAAAUAGACGGUUGCAGGUAGCUGGUGUUGACACGGUCCGUGGGAGCUGGACGUCUGCAGACGUAGAUGAAGUGAAGACACUCCUCAGUUGUGGUCCGGAAACUGUGCACUCGUCUGGGGAGAAACAAGAGAAGAAUUACAGUUUAUUGGAUUAUUCUGGUUCAAUACAUUUGUGUCCAUUCAUUUUUCUUAAGGAGGAAUAAAAUGCACAGAGACAUCAGGUAAAAACUGACUGGAUUGUCUUACUUUACAGUUUGUGUUUGGAUCGGCACUCCAGAUACCCAAAUGCACAAGCACAGCAAAUUUGAGUUUUUCAGGAUUCCUAUAUUCCCUUUAGAAAAACCUCACUGUUUAUUUAUCAUUUUUAAAAACAAUUUCCUAGGUAAGUGUUUAUGUUAGUACAGGAACAUAUUGGGUGUUCUAGUUCUGGAUGUUUUCAGUUGUAUAUUAAUGUGCCACGUAUGUACUUUGAUUAUGUCAAAUACAUUUUUCUGAUUGUACAUACUGUACAUUCCCUAUGCAGGACCUUUAUUUGUGAGUAUUUCUACAGUGUGGUAUUAUAGUUUUGCUCAAGUAAAAGAUCUGAAUACUUCCUCCACCUCUGGUUUUACUCUUUAUUUCACUAUGUAGCCAAAUAUGUGUAACUCAUAUUAAUUAAGCCAUCUUUUUUUCAACAGCAGCUGAUGUGUUUUUGUUUUAUUUUUACACCAACAAGGCAGUGUUAGAAUAUAUUUUGUGAAAGUGUUGAGAAAAGGUUUUAGAGUUCAUGGGGCUGACCUCAAUGUCUCUGCUUCCCUGGGUCAAAGGAAGGGUGAGAAAGAAACUCUGAUCAGGGGAGGGAACGAGGCAAAACAAUGGUCAGCACUAUGCAAGCGCGGGAUUUGUGACACUGUAUGGAAAUGACCUGGCUCUCAUGAAAACUCCUUAAAGUUUGCUGGAGAUUAAAACACAGGUGUUCAGAAUCCAACAAUAGCGGCUGGCUUCUUCUGAGCUGAGAAUUGGAAGUCAAGGUCAUGUUUUUAUACAGUGUUACAAAUUAGUCAGGAGCCGGCUGGAGCCAGAAGAUUUGGACUGGAUCCAAACUGAUGAGGGCACCACCAGGGAUGGGACAGAAAUGGAUAAAUAGACAGCAUUUUAACUUAGCA
ensembl:lncRNA